UGAGGAAUCUUCCGCAAUGGACGAAAGUCUGACGGAGCAACGCCGCGUGAGUGAUGACGGCCUUCGGGUUGUAAAGCUCUGUUAAUCGGGACGAAAGGUCCUCUUGCGAAUAGUUAGAGGAAUUGACGGUACCGGAAUAGAAAGCCACGGCUAACUACGUGCCAGCAGCCGCGGUAAUACGUAGGUGGCAAGCGUUGUCCGGAAUUAUUGGGCGUAAAGCGCGCGCAGGCGGAUCAGUUAGUCUGUCUUAAAAGUUCGGGGCUUAACCCCGCGAUGGGAUGGAAACUGCUGAUCUAGAGUAUCGGAGAGGAAAGUGGAAUUCCUAGUGUAGCGGUGAAAUGCGUAGAUAUUAGGAAGAACACCAGUGGCGAAGGCGACUUUCUGGACGAAAACUGACGCUGAGGCGCGAAAGCCAGGGGAGCGAACGGGAUUAGAUACCCCGGUAGUCCUGGCCGUAAACGAUGGGUACUAGGUGUAGGAGGUAUCGACCCCUUCUGUGCCGGAGUUAACGCAAUAAGUACCCCGCCUGGGGAGUACGACCGCAAGGUUG
rnacentral:rRNA from 1 species